UUUCAAAUGGCCCAAAAAAAAUGUAAUGUUGCGAAAUGUAAAUCUGACCUUUCUUCAAUGGAAGAUGAUAAGUUAAAAAAAAAGAGAAAAAUUUAAAAAAGGCAGUAUAAAACUCGUUUAAGCUCGGAAUCUGACAGUGAAAAAUCUGAUACAGAUAUGCACAAAAAUGCCCUUCCGUGUUAUCAUUCAGACGCAGAACCUCAACUUCAAAAAAAAAACCACCAAAUACAAAAACAUUAAAUAGUAUUGAAAGUCGACCCAAUGGAUGGUCUCCCUUAAAGAACUCCAUCAUUGAUACAGC